rnacentral:rRNA from 1 species
CGGAAUUGCUAGUAAUGGCAGGUCAGCAUACUGCCGUGAAUACGUUCCCGGGCCUUGUACACACCGCCCGUCACACCAUGAGAGUUGGGAAUACCCGAAGCCUGUGAGCUAACAUUAAGAGGCAGCAGUCGAAGGUAGAAUCAAUGAUUGGGGUGAAGUCGUAACAAGGUACC